UAGGGAAUCUUCGGCAAUGGACGAAAGUCUGACCGAGCAACGCCGCGUGAGUGAAGAAGGUUUUCGGAUCGUAAAACUCUGUUGUUAGAGAAGAACAAGGACGUUAGUAACUGAACGUCCCCUGACGGUAUCUAACCAGAAAGCCACGGCUAACUACGUGCCAGCAGCCGCGGUAAUACGUAGGUGGCAAGCGUUGUCCGGAUUUAUUGGGCGUAAAGCGAGCGCAGGCGGUUUCUUAAGUCUGAUGUGAAAGCCCCCGGGUCAACCGGGGAGGGUCAUUGGAAACUGGGAGACUUGAGUGCAGAAGAGGAGAGUGGAAGUCCAUGUGUAGCGGUGAAAUGCGUAGAUAUAUGGAGGAACACCAGUGGCGAAGGCGGCUCUCUGGUCUGUAACUGACGCUGAGGCUCGAAAGCGUGGGGAGCAAACAGG
rnacentral:rRNA from 1 species